AAUUUGAAUCAUCAUAGGCC
rnacentral:snRNA from 1 species